UACGUAGGGGGCAAGCGUUGUCCGGAAUCAUUGGGCGUAAAGGGCGCGUAGGCGGUCGUGACAAGUCACUUGUGAAAUCUCCGGGCUUAACUCGGAACGGUCAAGUGAUACUGUCGGGCUAGAGUACAGAAGGGGCAACUGGAAUUCUCGGUGUAGCGGUGAAAUGCGUAGAUAUCGAGAGGAACACCUGCGGCGAAGGCGGGUUGCUGGGCUGAUACUGACGCUGAUGCGCGAAAGCCAGGGGAGCAAACGGG
rnacentral:rRNA from 1 species